rnacentral:lncRNA from 1 species
UCUCUCUUUCUCUCUCUCACCAUGUGAUCUAUGCAUGCCUGUUCCCGUCUGCUUGCACUAAGAAUGGAAACAGCCUAAGUUCCUCACCAGAAGCAGAGGCUGGCACCAUGUUUGUUAUGCAGCCUGCAGAACCACAUUCUACCUCAGAAGUUAUUUGGAGGAAUCCAAGGACUUAGAUAUUUUACCAAUGUCUCUGGUGAUUUUUAUAUCGGUGGCCCAUGGGUGUUGACCUAUGAAACUGCUCUGCAGCAGAUAUUGAGAAAUAGGAGUUCAGACCAUCGAACUCCAAGUACUUCAGAUUUGGAACUCGGACUGCUUUCCUUGCUCCUCAGCCUGCAGAUGGCCUAUUGUGGGACCUUGUGAUUAUGUAGUGAGACGAGCAUGAGUGGAGCAGGAGACGGCUGUCCCCCACCCACAAGGAAUAUCAGAUGAUGGUUCAGCGAUCAUCACAUUGCCUCUCUGAAAGUGAUAAAUUGGCAGCUGGCACCAGGGAGAGGCUAUUUCCUGAUGGCCCACACCUGUUGCACUAAGAUGUUAAUCGAAUGCAGAUUCCAGGGAGAAACAACUUCCUGGGCAUGUGCGUAAGAGACAAAAUGGCAGGUAUGACCUUCUGGGGACACUCCACCAGAAAAGGGAAGAAAACCUCAGAUGGGCAUGCAUAUAACUUCCUAAACACACUGCUCACACUCUCCUCCCAAGGGUAAGGAGGGCACUGCACAUGCAGGCAGCCCAUCCUAAGGGAAGCAUCCUGGGAAAGGGGUCAGUCUAUAUGGUUCUGGGAUCAAGAUUAAACACCACAUUAGACCUUCAAGUUGCCCACUUGGGUCUCUUCUAUGUGUAUUUUUCUUUCCUUUCUUUUCUGCUCUAAAGCUUUUUUAAAUAAACAUACACAUCCCUCCUCU